UCCGUAGGUGAACCUGCGGAAGGAUCAUUAUCGUAGGGCUUCGGCCCUGUCGAGAUAGAACCCUUGCCUUUUUGAGUACCUUUUCGUUUCCUCGGCAGGCCCGCCUGCCAAUGGGGACCCCAUAAACACUUUGCAGUACCUGUAAUUGUCUGAAAAAACAAACAAAAAAAUUAAAACUUUCAACAACGGAUCUCUUGGUUCUGGCAUCGAUGAAGAACGCAGCGAAAUGCGAUAAGUAGUGUGAAUUGCAGAAUUCAGUGAAUCAUCGAAUCUUUGAACGCACAUUGCGCCCAUUGGUAUUCCUUUGGGCAUGCCUGUUCGAGCGUCAUUUAAACCUUCAAGCUCAGCUUGGUGUUGGGUGACUGUCGGCGGCCCCUCGGGGCGGCCGACUCGCCUCAAAAAUAUUGGCGGCCGGUACUUUGGCUUCGAGCGCAGCAGAAACGCGAACUCGGGGUUGCUGUACUGGCUCCCAGAAGCCAUCUUCACAUUUUUGACCUCGGAUCAGGUAGGGAUACCCGCUGAACUUAAGCAUAUCAAUAAGCGGAGGA
rnacentral:rRNA from 1 species